AAUAUUGCGCAAUGGACGGAAGUCUGACGCAGCGACGCCGCGUGAGCGAUGAAGGUCUUCGGAUCGUAAAGCUCUGUCCUUGGGGAAGAAGGGCUUCGGCCUUGACGGUACCCAAGAAGAAAGCCCCGGCUAACUACGUGCCAGCAGCCGCGGUAAUACGUAGGGGGCGAGCGUUGUCCGGAAUUACUGGGCGUAAAGGGUGCGUAGGCGGCCCUUUAAGUCAGAUGUGAAAGGCCACGGCUUAACCGUGGAACUGCAUUUGAAACUGUGUAGCUUGAGUGCAGGAGAGGAAAGUGGAAUUCCUAGUGUAGCGGUGAAAUGCGUAGAGAUUAGGAGGAACACCAGUGGCGAAGGCGACUACCUGGACGAAAACUGACGCUGAGGCACGAAAGCUAGGGGAGCAAACA
rnacentral:rRNA from 1 species